UACGUAGGCAGCAAGCGUUGUUCGGAGUUACUGGGCGUAAAGGGUGCGUAGGCGGUCCUAUAAGUAUGGUGUGAAAUCUCCCGGCUUAACUGGGAGGGUGCGCUAUAGACUGUGGGACUAGAGUGUGGGAGAGGAAAGUGGAAUUCCUGGUGUAGCGGUGAAAUGCGUAGAUAUCAGGAGGAACACCGGUGGUGUAAACGGCUUUCUGGACCAUAAACUGACGCUGAGGCACGAAAAGCGUGAGUAGCAAACAGG
rnacentral:rRNA from 1 species